rnacentral:rRNA from 1 species
CCCUUAGAUGUUCAGGGCCGCACGCGCGCUACACUGAUGCAUUCAACGAGUCUAAAACCUGCUCUGAUAGGGGUGGGUAAUCUUUUGAAUGUGCAUCGUGAUUGGGAUAGAUGAUUGCAAUUUUUCAUCUUCAACGAGGAAUGCCUAGUAAACGCAAGUCAUCAGCUUGCAUUGAUUACGUCCCUGCCCUUUGUACACACCGCCCGUCGCUCCUACCGAUUGAAUGAUCCGAUGAAUAUCAUGGAUUGAGGAUGCAAGUAGGUUCGCCUAUCUUCAUCUUCGAGAAGUGAAGUAAAUCUUAUCAUUUAGAGGAAGGAGAAGUCGUAACA